UGAGAACACCGUCCAGAUCCUACGGAGGCCAGGCAGUGGGGACUUGGCCAUUGGAGCAGGCUGGAUGCAGGCAUGCGCGUGUAUGGAGAUGGCCCUAGGAUGUAAGUACUUUCCAGUCGGGAGGAUGUCGUGAUGCUAUAUCAUCAUCGAUUGACGUUACCGAACAGAAGAAGCACUGCUAACUCCGUGCCAGCAGCCGCGGUAAUACCGGAAGGGUUGCCAAGCCGUUAAAUCGGAAUUACUGGGCGUAAAGCCGCAACGCCAGGCCGGUUGAAUGAAGUCUAAGAUUGUGAAAUCCCCGGGCUUAACCCUGGGAAUUGGCAUCUAAUGACUGGUCAGCUAGAAGUUCUGUUGGAGGGGGGUUAGAUUUCCCUGUGUUAGCGGUUGAAUGGGGUAGAGAUUUGGAGGAAUACCGGUGCCGAAGGGCGGCCCCUUGGCCAAAGACUGACCUUCAGUUGGGAAAGCGUGGGGAGCAACCAGGAUUGGUUACCUUGUUAUUCCACGCGUUAAAGGAGGUGGAUUUGAAGGUUGUUCCCUGGAGGAGUGGCUUCCGGAGUUACCGCGUUAAUUGGACCCCUUGGGGAUUCCGGCCCCAAGUUUAAAAUCCAAUGGAAUGGACGGGGGCCCCCCCAAGCGGUGGACCAUGUGGUUUAUUUGGAUGCAACGGGAGGACCCUUCCUUAUUCUGGCCUUCCAGAGAAUUUGGCAGGGAUGUUUUGGUCCUUUCGGAAAUUUUGAGCCAGGUGUUCCAUGGCGUUCUUCAGUUCGUGUUGGGAAAUGUUGGGUUAAUUCCCGCAACGAGCCCAACCCUUUUCCUUUGUUCCCAGGGAUUCGGUCGGGAACUCAAAGGAGACUGCCGGUGAUAAACCGGAGGAAGGUGGGGAUGACGUCAAGUCAUCAUGGCCCUUACGAGUAGGGCUACACACGUGCUACAAUGGCGUAUACAAAGGGAAGCGACCUCGCGAGGGCAAGCGGAACUCAUAAAGUACGUCGUAGUCCGGAUUGGAGUCUGCAACUCGACUCCAUGAAGUCGGAAUCGCUAGUAAUCGUAGAUCAGAAUGCUACGGUGAAUACGUUCCCGGGCCUUGUACACACCGCCCGUCACACCAUGGGAGUGGGUUGCAAAAGAAGUAGGUAGCUUAACCUCCGGGAGGGCGCUACCACUUUGUUUUCCGG
rnacentral:rRNA from 1 species